UCGCGCGCUCCGGCCGCCGCCGUCCCAGCGUCCCGCCGCCCGUGCGUCCUCCGCGCGCCACCGCCCGGCCGCCCGGCCCUCGGCGGUGGCUCCGCCCCCGCCCUGCCCCCUCCGGGCCGGCCCCGCCCCCAGUCGCCUGCAGCCUGGACGGCCGUGGGGGGAAGGGGGAGACAGGGGAUGCCGGGAGAACGCGAUUGCACCUGGACUGCAGAGAGAAAACGAAAAGUCAGAGACACAACUCCCCAGGGCCGGGACCUGAACACCAGCCCUUCUGGCCUAGUACCCAAGACCUCCACCCCCAGCUGCCUCUUGGCAUGUGGUCACCACCACUCCCGAAGUGCCCCUCACCCACAGCCGGUGCCACCAUGAAGCUGGCAGAAACCCUGGGAAGUUUCCUGACCAACUGUGGAGAGGUCUGCGUGUACCGUCUGGUUUAUUCCCCUGAGGCUUUUGUUUGAGCCUUUAACAAAAUGACAAUAGUGAAAACCCCACUAGGGGUCUGGCAGCCCAGAAAAUAAAUCUCACCGGAAAAACCUGACUCCGAAUCUGAGCGGGACUCCAGACCUCAUCACCAGUUCCCAGAAACGUGGGGACAGAGGAACAAGUAAAGCAACACCAUGGGGACACAGCCGGCCUUGUUCAGGCCAGAAAACCCCUUGGAACAGGGGUGUGUGGGUGGUUCAGUCGGUUAAGCGUCCGACCUCAGCUCAGGUCAUGAUCUCACGGUUCAAGAGUUCAAGCCCCGCGUUGGACUCUAUGUUGACAGCUUGGAGCCUGGAGCCUGUUUUGGAUUCUGUGUCUCCCUCUGUCUCUGCCCCUCCCAAAUUCACACUCUGUCUGUCUGUCCCUCUCUCAAUAAUAAAUAAACAUUAAAAAAAAUUAAAAAAAAAUUAAAAGAAAGAAAAUUCCUUGAAACAAAGCUCACAUCUCCAACAAAUGAAAUGCAGGAAAAAGAAACAAUUGCUUUCAUGCAAGCAAGCAAACUGGGAGAAAACCUUUUUACAACAGUGGGAAAUACAAUGCCUGAGCCUCAACCUAUCAAAGAAAACAUUAAAAACCCUUACUGUAAAAAUUGGGGAACUGAUGCCGUUUUUUGUUUUUGUUUUCUUUCUUUGAUUCAAAGAGCCUUAAGAGACUUGUCAGUCACAGCCAUUGUGGAUCUUAUAAAUGGAUCGUGAUUCGAACCAAGUGCAAAAAAACAAAUUGUCUUGAGAUCAUCAGGAACAUCCAAGCAUGGACUGGUAUUCCCAUUAAUGGGGCACCUGGGUGGUUCAGUUGGUUAAGCAUCUGACCGACUCAGGUCAUGAUCUCAUGGUUUGUGAGUUCGAGCCCUGCAUCAGGCUCCGUGCUGACAGCUCAGAGCCUGGAGCCUGCUUUGAAUUCUGUGUCUCCCUCUCUCUGCCCCUCCAGCACUCACACUCUGUCUCUCUCUUUC